UAAGAAUAAAUAAAAAUGGUUAACCACAUA
rnacentral:piRNA from 1 species